UACGAAGGGCCCAAGCGUUGUUCGGAAUCACUGGGCGUAAAGGGCGCGUAGGCGGCGUGGUAAGUCAGAUGUGAAAUCCCGGGGCUCAACCCCGGAACUGCAUCCGAUACUGCCAUGCUAGAGGAUUGGAGAGGUAGCUGGAAUUCUUGGUGUAGCAGUGAAAUGCGUAGAGAUCAAGAGGAACACUCGUGGCGAAAGCGAGCUACUGGACAAUUCCUGACGCUGAGGCUCGAAGGCUAGGGUAGCGAAAGGG
rnacentral:rRNA from 1 species